rnacentral:tRNA from 1 species
GCGAGAAUAUCUAAGUGGCCAACAGAGGCGGACUCAAGAUCCGUUCCCGAAGGGGUUCGCAGGUUCGACUCCUGCUUCUCGCAUCA